rnacentral:rRNA from 1 species
UACAGAGGGUGCGAGCGUUGUUCGGAAUUUGAUGGCGUAAAGCGCUUGUAGGCGGCUUGUUAAGUUCCGUGUGAAAUCCCCAGGCUUAACCUGGGAAGUGCGCGGAAAACUGGCGAGCUUGAGUGCCGGAGAGGGUCGCGGAAUUCCCGGUGUAGAGGUGAAAUUCGUAGAUAUGGGAGGAACACCAGUGGCGAAGGCGGACG